UACGGAGGAGGCAAGCGUUAUCCGGAAUUAUUGGGCGUAAAGCGUCCGCAGGUGGCACUUCAAGUCUGUCGUCAAAGACUGGGGCUUAACCCUGGAAAGGCGGUGGAAACUACAUGGCUAGAGUGCGUUCGGGGCAGAGGGAAUUCCUGGUGUAGCGGUGAAAUGCGUAGAUAUCAGGAAGAACACCGGUGGCGAAAGCGCUCUGCUAGGCCGCAACUGACAUUGAGGGACGAAAGCUAGGGGAGCGAAUGGG
rnacentral:rRNA from 1 species